UUCCGUUUACCAUCUUUCGUUUAUAGGUCUAGGUUACAGUUCGCGAGAAAGAUAAGUGAUAGACAGUUAAAUCCAAAUCUUGAUCCGAGAUUCUUCUUAGUCUGUCUAGCCAUAGCCCAUAUUCUUCUUAGUUUGUCUUUCAGGGAUGUUUCCGUAACGUUCUGCGACAAAUCAAAGUCUCUUUUAUGCCUGCCGUAAUUGCGACGACCAGACUUGCUUGACGGUCGGGCUAGAGAUCUCAGAUAGGGAAGAAACCGCAGAUGAUGAAUAUGGUGAUGGCGUUUACAGCUCCAGAAGGCUUUGUCAUGAACAACCUCAAAGAUCGUCUAUCUUUCUAUCGAAUCCGAGAAAGAUUGAUCAAAAGAUCCGUUACAAAAAUCACAUAAAUCAGAUUCGAUGCAGAGAGGAACGCAAGUCAACUUUAGCGCAGGAAGCCAAGUUUUCGAGAAAAGAAUGAUCUGCUGCAAUGGUGGUAACUAAAUCCCUCGAUUUUGAGUUUUAACAUGAAAUAGGAUGAAUUAAACACAUACGUUGGAGUCACGAGAUAGGGAUUUACAAUCACUAUUCGGGUUUAGCCUAAACAAAAACAUCUUUGCAGUCAUAUGCCUAACUAGGAUCUUAGAUCAAUCUAAUUUAGUCUAAAAUUUAGGGAAGGUCGGAGAUGUUAUAGGGACAUAAAGAGAAACAGAGACUCAUUUGGAAACUUGGUGUUUCGUUGAUAGUGUUAGAUGCAGUAGUUUUUAUCAAUGUUUUUCUUCUAUUGUGAGGUAGAGCCAAGUCUCGAGGAUACACACCAGUUAUGUUGAGUCCUGAGAUCAAGUUGUUCGAGCCGAGCAGUGGUGGUGCCGCGGUGGACAGCGAUAAGGCACUCCAUUUUUCCAAUCGAAGGGGAAGGAGGCUCGCAUUGCUUCUGCGGAAGGACAUAUUUGUUAGGACGAGCACCUUAUGAUAAGGCCCUUAUCAAAAGUAGACCCCCUUAUGUUUGUAGUUGCAGCGUAAAGGUAGUUCUAUCACGAUCAUUUGAAAUUGAGCUUAUGCUUCUUGAACUACUUAGUAUAUGAUACACUUCUUAAGAUUUUAAAAUGAUGGCCUGCUAAACUUUAAAAUGAUUUUUUAAGAAAUUUUUUAAAA